UAGGGAAUCUUCGGCAAUGGACGGAAGUCUGACCGAGCAACGCCGCGUGAGUGAAGAAGGUUUUCGGAUCGUAAAGCUCCGUUGUAAGAGAAGAACGAGUGUGAGAGUGGAAAGUUCACACUGUGACGGUAUCUUACCAGAAAGGGACGGCUAACUACGUGCCAGCAGCCGCGGUAAUACGUAGGUCCCGAGCGUUGUCCGGAUUUAUUGGGCGUAAAGCGAGCGCAGGCGGUUAGAUAAGUCUGAAGUUAAAGGCUGUGGCUUAACCAUAGUACGCUUUGGAAACUGUUUAACUUGAGUGCAAGAGGGGAGAGUGGAAUUCCAUGUGUAGCGGUGAAAUGCGUAGAUAUAUGGAGGAACACCGGUGGCGAAAGCGGCUCUCUGGCUUGUAACUGACGCUGAGGCUCGAAAGCGUGGGGAGCAAACAGGAUUAGAUACCCUGGUAGUCCACGCCGUAAACGAUGAGUGCUAGGUGUUAGACCCUUUCCGGGGUUUAGUGCCGCAGCUAACGCAUUAAGCACUCCGCCUGGGGAGUACGACCGCAAGGUUG
rnacentral:rRNA from 1 species